rnacentral:rRNA from 1 species
GGUGCAUUAGCUAGUUGGUAAGGUAACGGCUUACCAAGGCGAUGAUGCAUAGCCGAGUUGAGAGACUGAUCGGCCACAAUGGAACUGAGACACGGUCCAUACUCCUACGGGAGGCAGCAGUAGGGAAUCUUCCACAAUGGGCGCAAGCCUGAUGGAGCAACACCGCGUGAGUGAAGAAGGGUUUCGGCUCGUAAAGCUCUGUUGUUGGAGAAGAACGUGCGUGAGAGUAACUGUUCACGCAGUGACGGUAUCCAACCAGAAAGUCACGGCUAACUACGUGCCAGCAGCCGCGGUAAUACGUAGGUGGCAAGCGUUAUCCGGAUUUAUUGGGCGUAAAGCGAGCGCAGGCGGUUGCUUAGGUCUGAUGUGAAAGCCUUCGGCUUAACCGAAGAAGUGCAUCGGAAACCGGGCGACUUGAGUGCAGAAGAGGACAGUGGAACUCCAUGUGUAGCGGUGGAAUGCGUAGAUAUAUGGAAGAACACCAGUGGCGAAGGCGGCUGUCUGGUCUGCAACUGACACUGAGGCUCGAAAGCAUGGGUAGCGAACAGGAUUAGAUACCCUGGUAGUCCAUGCCGUAAACGAUGAGUGCUAGGUGUUGGAGGGUUUCCGCCCUUCA